rnacentral:rRNA from 1 species
AUUGAACGCUGGCGGCAUGCCUUACACAUGCAAGUCGAACGGUAACAGGUCUUCGGACGCUGACGAGUGGCGAACGGGUGAGUAAUACAUCGGAACGUGCCCAGUCGUGGGGGAUAACUACUCGAAAGAGUAGCUAAUAGCGCAUACGAUCUGAGGAUGAAAGCGGGGGACCUUCGGGCCUCGCGCGAUUGGCGCGGCCGAUGGCAGAUUAGGUAGUUGGUGGGAUAAAAGCUUACCAAGCCGACGAUCUGUAGCUGGUCUGAGAGGACGACCAGCCACACUGGGACUGAGACACGGCCCAGACUCCUACGGGAGGCAGCAGUGGGGAAUUUUGGACAAUGGGCGAAAGCCUGAUCCAGCAAUGCCGCGUGCAGGAUGAAGGCCUUCGGGUUGUAAACUGCUUUUGUACGGAACGAAAAAGCUCCUUCUAAUACAGGGGGCCCAUGACGGUACCGUAAGAAUAAGCACCGGCUAACUACGUGCCAGCCGCCGCAGUAA